ACAUGCCUACAACAUAGCGUUAAUGCAUCGGAUCCCAUUAGAACUCCGCAGUUAAGCACACUCAGGCUAGUGUAGUAUUGGGAUGGGUGACCUCCCAGGAAGUCCUAGAUUUUUACAUGCU
rnacentral:rRNA from 1 species